ACUCAAAUGAAUUGACGGGGGCCCGCACAAGCAGCGGAGCGUGUGGUUUAAUUCGAUGCAACACGCAGAACCUUACCUAGACUUGACAUGACGGUGUAAGCGGCGGAAACGUCGCCCCUCUUCGGAGCACCGCCACAGAUGUUGCAUGGCUGUCGUCAGCUCGUGUCGUGAGAUGUUGGGUUAAGUCCCGCAACGAGCGCAACCCUCGUGCUAUGUUGUCCUUUUCAUAGCAGACUGCCUCUUACAGAGGAGGAAGGUGGGGAUGACGUCAAGUCCGCAUGGCUCUUACGUCUAGGGCGACACACACGCUACAAUGGCCGGGACAAUGCGCAGCCACCGCGCGAGCGGGAGCGAAUCGCCAAAACCCGGUCUCAGUUCGGAUGGCAGGCUGCAACCCGCCUGCCUGAAGUCGGAGUUGCUAGUAACCGCGUGUCAGCAUAGCGCGGUGAAUAUGUUCCCGGGCCUUGUACACACCGCCCGU
rnacentral:rRNA from 1 species